ACAUCGGAGUGGUUGUGUUGCUGUGGCACUGUGAGCACCUUAAGGACAGGGAUUGCCUCCCUAGCACGGAACAUGCUGCCCAGCACACACAGGUGCUCCUUAGACACUGCAUCUGGAGAGACCAUGUCCACAGCAACAGUCUGUAUACUGAAAGGCAUCAGAGUUGCAAUAGACGUUUCCCACACUAUGGUAAAUCUUCCGUAACAGGGACUCAGCCCCAGCUGAGUGUCAGUAGACUCUUGAACCCACACUAGGCAGACUGAGCCAAGCAUUUUAGAAGGGCCUCAGGCAGCUCCCAGCUGAUCCUCAUGUGCUGCGGGGGUGAGGGGGUAGGUAGCUCUUUAGAACAGUGUCCAGGUGACAUUUCUGCAUGUCUAGACCGCUGCUUCCUGCUCUGGACCUUGGACUCUGAACCUCAGAUAGAUAUUUUGAGUGCAGCGGCCAAUCCUUGAUGUCCUCGUUGCCCUUGGUUUUUAGGAGGAUAUUUCUGAAAUGAGUAUAAGAUAUAGCUUAGAAAAAUGAUCAAAGGAGACAACCAAACUGAGCAAAGAAAUAAGUCUAGUUCACAUGCUCAUGCAAGGGUGUGACCUAAGCUGACAACCGCUUCUCCUGGCCUCAUCCAUCACUGCAGCCCACCUUGUGGGCACUGGAAUACAAGAGCAGCACAGGAUUUCAGCUUUGCCAUUGUGAUUGGGUUUUUUCUUUCUCUCUCAGACUGAGGAAGUGAGUCUUGAUGAUUAUGUAUGUAUCAAGGGUUUUUUUUCCUGCUGGUUUAGUCCUGAAGUCUUGAACUAGAUGAAUUCUGGUAGAAGUAGGAGGAGGGUGCUCAGCAUGGUGGGCAUGCAGGUGCUGAGCCUCCGUCCCCAGGGAACGCCAGAAUGAGCACCCAUUGAAGAAGGAAACAUGGCAUAAUGAUGUGGCCCGCAGGAGACUGCUUCUCCCUGCCUGUGUUGGGACUGACUUCACAUUUCUCGUGUGGUUUGGCUUCAGAAUCGAGCUGAAACAUCAGUGCCAAGCUGCCUAAUAAAGGCUGACAUGAGCAUGUGUUUAAAACCUAAUAAAAUAUUGCCUCCAAAA